rnacentral:rRNA from 1 species
CCUACGGGAGGCAGCAGUGAGGAAUAUUGGUCAAUGGGCGCGAGCCUGAACCAGCCAAGUAGCGUGAAGGAUGACUGCCCUACGGGUUGUAAACUUCUUUUGUGCGGGAGCAAUAAUGGUCACGUGUGGCCAGACGAGAGUACCGUACGAAUAAGCAUCGGCUAACUCCGUGCCAGCAGCCGCGGUAAUACGGGGGAUGCAAGCGUUAUCCGGAUUUAUUGGGUUUAAAGGGUGCGUAGGCUGUGAGGUAAGUCAGCGGUUAAAUGCCCCCGCUCAACGGGGUGAAGUGCCAUUGAUACUGCCGUGCUGGAAUGCGGAUGCCGUGGGAGGAAUGUGUGGUGUAGCGGUGAAAUGCAUAGAUAUCACACAGAACACCGAUUGCGAAGGCAGCUUACUAAACUGCCACUGACAUUGAUGCUCGAAAGUGUGGGUAUCAAACAGGAUUAGAUACCCCAGUAGUC